AACCUAAAUAUGAUUCCAAAGAAUGAGACUUUGGAAGUAAAGAAAGCUUAGGGAGAUUGAAUGCCAUAAAAAAUGCUAUUUGGACUUUAUAGUCACAAAUGAUCUUAAUUAAGGAGAGAAUGUGGAGGGACCUUUUAAAAAAACAUAGCAGAGCAUGCAGAAAACUCUUUAAUAAGAGCUCAAAUUUGGAGGAUGACAAGAUAGCUGCCUCUGCCUUUGCCAGUGCAGUGAGAGCAGCUUCAGGAAUCUUAAGGCCUCUGAAUAUUUUGGCAUCUUCAGCCUACCAAAACUGUGUCAAAAAUGCCUCUCUUAUUUCUGCAUUGUCCACUGGACGUUUUAGUCAUAUUCAGACACCGGUUGUUUCCUCCACUCCCACACUUACUGCAUCUGAGAGAAACCUGACAUGUGGGCAUACUUCAGCGAUCCUUAAUAGAGUGGCCCCCUUGCUUCCAAGUGUCUUGAAGCUGCCAGUCAGAUCUCUAACAUGCGUCAGUACACGAAAAGGCAAGAGAAAGAUUGUGAAAGCCGUCAUCUAUAGGUUUCUUCGACUUCAUUGUGGCCUUUGGAUGAGAAGGGCUGGUUAUAAGAAAAAAUUAUGGAAAAAGGCACCUGCAAGAAAAAAGCAAUUGAGGGAAUUUGUAUUCUGCAAUGAAACCCAGAGUAAACUCUUAAGAUAAAAUGACAUUGUCCUUCUGGAAGAGGCGAAACUGGUAUGUCCAUGAUCCUUAUCAGAAGUAUCAUGAUCGAACAAACCUGAAAGUAUAGAUCAGAAGUUUCACUUGUUUCUCAGUUAUUGAAUAUGUAUCUUUGUGUACAUAUCUUUGCAAAAAUGGAUAAGUAAAAAUCUCGAUGUAAAUUGUACCAAUGAAUAUGUAAACAUACAGUGACAACAUUCAACUUAUAACAGUUUUAAAACUUAAAAAAAAAA